GAAAACACGAUGGCACGAUGAUGAAACAUCGACGGCACGAUGGUGAAAUCAAGUUGAUGAGAUGACAUUAUGAAAAUAAUAUAACGCGUCCUCAUCAUCGUGCCAUCGCAGUUUCAUCAUAGUAUUAUCGUUCUUUCACCAUCGUACAAUCGGUAUUUUCAUCAUCCUAACAUCGUGUUUACACCAUCGCACCAUCGCGUAUCAUCGUGCAUUCGUCAUUGUAACAUCGUACCAUCAUUGUUUCAGCAUCGUACAAUUGUUGUUUCACGUUCGUACCAUCGUGUUUUUACCAUCGUACCAUUGUGCCAUCGGGCUUCGUAAACGGCAUUCCGUUUGUUUCAGUGUAUGCCUUCAGGUUCAGCCAAUCAAAUUUCUUGAAUUAGAGAUAUAAGAAUUAUAUUUCAUAAAAAAAGCGUAAGUAAACAUAUUGAUGAUAGAACUUUGACAUGAAGUCGAACGGCGAACCUCGAUUCUAAAAAAAAUAAUAAACAUUCUGCAGUGGAAAAAAAAUGUGACAAAUAAUUCAUUAUAAAUGACAUGAGACAAAUGUGCUUUUUUGUCCCUUGAGAACAUUUGACAAAUGCGUUUUUUUCCGUUAAAAAACUUGAUCGGAGCACAUAUGCAUUUGUCACACAAAUUACUUUUUUGGGGUAGACAUUUGAGGUCCAAUUUGACUCAUGUGGGACAAAUGCGACCUCAUCGGUCUAAUGGAAGACAAAUGCUACGAGACAAAUGUGCUCCUACAAUUCUUUCUAUUUAUAUGAAAUACGGGAGUUCUUUGGGUUUUGAUUAGUCUUAUGAUAAUGUUAUGGCACUUAAGACCUUGAUACAGUGUGCCAGUCUCAUAUUGACAAAAAUGUACAAAAAAAAAAAAAAAAAAUAGAAGACAAAAAAAAUCGGAAAUAGAUUAUUGCAAUGAAUAAAUGAUAAUAUUUUCCAUUUUACAUGGUUUAAUUCAGCUUCAUGUCAUCCCGAAAAAGGUGAGAAAGUGAAUUCUGAAAAAGUCGACCGUAUUAAAUACGUUAAAAACGAUAACGGAAAUACAAGUGACGAAGAUGGUAGUUUCAGAAGCACAGAUGACUGGAUUGAUUUAAACACCGAUGAAACAAAUCAAUGCCUACAGAAUCUGCCACAGCCGGCCUUAAUCCUGAAUUGCAAAGAUUCGGACAAAACGAGACGGGAGUCAAAGCGAACACACUUUACCGGAUCCAAAUUCCCUCACAACUACUCAAAACAAGGAAAAUCGAGAAAAGCCCGGAAAUGAUUUAUUAAAUAAGUCUAUGAUUGAGUCAGUUUUGUUGUUGUGUCAAAUUCAUAUUUUCAAAAAUAGGUUAUGUGAUGCCAAUGUACGCAUAGAUCUGAUAAGAUAAUUUUAAAGUCUACCUUUGUUACGAGUCGUAAAAUAUUUGAUAGAGAAGUUAAAAAAACUAAACGUUUUUAUUGGUAUUCACUGCAGAAUGACCUAUUGAAUGAUUGUAAGGUAGAUAGUACUUCAUUUUGGAAAUCUAUUGGUAAAAUUGGUGUAGAUUUUUCAAAAAUCAUAAUAUUUAGACUUCCGGUGAAAACAUUCAUAAUAUAAACAAAGGAAAAAAUGUAAUGAAAUAAUUAAACCUGGGUAAAUCUGAUAACGGCAGGUGUUCCAAACAAUUGUAACAAUGGUCUUAUAAGCAACGUAAAACAUUGCAGGAAGAAUUUGACUUUAUAAAAACAGAUCCGUGAUAUAUCCAUGGAAAUUAAGUAUUCGAAAUUAUCCGAAAUUAUCCGAAAUUUUAACAGUGUGCAUUUAUUGUGAGUCGAUACCAAAUUACCAAUGUAUCAUAAUAUAAUAAAUGAAAUAUGAUGCAUAAUGUACUAAAUGGAUCGUGAGAAAAAUCGAACGACUAGAAGAGAGAAAAUUGCUGCAUCCCAUGAUAAAAACAGAAGAAGGUCAUCCUCAACAAAAAGAAAAGUUACUUCACCAUCCUAUAGUCAAAACAUUGAUAAGAAACACAAACAUAAUACAUAUAGCUUAGACAACCUAGAUAUAGUCAACAGUGACACUUCUUAUAACUACACCAUUAAGGACAAAGACACAGACAACACAAUUAACGCAGAAAAUAUGAGCUCAACAGUUAAAUGUGCACUUAAUCCAACAAUGGCAACCAGUGCCCCUCACUUAAUCCAUCAAAUGCCAGAGCACUUAGUCCAUACUACUUCUCCUGGAAGUUUCUUAACAGAUGUUGAUAUUGUCAGGAUAUUUAAUGCUUUGAAAUUAUCAAUGGCAGAAAAAAAUCAAUGGUAUGGUCUCAAUGCAUGUACAGAUAGCAACAGAGCAAUAAAGAGAGGACAUAAGUGAUCUGAAAACGGAAGUUGAGUCACUUAAACAGAAGCACAAGAAAUCAAAAAUGAAGCAAGAUGAUGCUGAGCAGUACUCCAGAAAAAAGUGUAAGAAUAAGUAAUUACAAAGAAAAGUCAGAUGAAGGAACU